AGAGUUUGAUCAUGGCUCAGGACGAACGCUGGCGGUGCGCCUAACACAUGCAAGUCGAACGGUGAACCGGGCUUCGGCCCGGGGAUCAGUGGCGAACGGGUGCGUAACACGUGGGCAACCUGCCCCCGACCCUGGGAUAACCCCGGGAAACCGGAGCUAAUACCGGAUACUCUCCUCCGACCACAUGGUCAGAAGAGGAAAGGUCCGCCGGUCGGGGAUGGGCCCGCGGCCUAUCAGCUUGUUGGUGGGGUAACGGCCUACCAAGGCGACGACGGGUAGCUGGUCUGAGAGGACGACCAGCCACACUGGGACUGAGACACGGCCCAGACUCCUACGGGAGGCAGCAGUGGGGAAUCUUGCGCAAUGGGCGAAAGCCUGACGCAGCGACACCGCGUGGGGGACGAAGGCCUUUCAGGUCGUAAACCCCUUUCGGCAGGGACGAAGCGAUCUCGUGACGGUACCUGAAGAAGAAGCCUCGGCUAACUACGUGCCAGCAGCCGCGGUAACACGUAGGAGGCGAGCGUUGUCCGGAAUCAUUGGGCGUAAAGAGCGCGCAGGCGGCUUGGCAAGUCGGGUGUGAAAUCCCGGGGCUCAACCCCGGGACUGCAUUCGAUACUGUCAGGCUAGAGGUAGGUAGGGGAGAUCGGAAUUCCUGGUGUAGCGGUGAAAUGCGCAGAUAUCAGGAGGAACACCGGUGGCG
rnacentral:rRNA from 1 species